GGAGUCCGUCCCUCUGAAGCUCCUCUGUGUGGAGAACAUGACAGCAGGACCAAAGCUCAGAGGACCCAUCAGAGACCAGGACCUGAACCUGCACCCAGCUGUGUGUCCAUGAAGAGUAACCGGUCUAUGAAUCCUCCUCUAUACUUCAAAGAUGGUCCCUCUGUUGAUGCAAGGUCACAUCAGCAGAGAGGAAAGUCUCCUGAACCCAGAUGUUUGUCCAUGAGGAGCGAUCGGUCUCAAGGUCGAUGGAUUAACUUCAAAGAUGAUCGGUCUCAAGGUCGAUCAAUUGACUUCAAAGAUGAUCGGUCUCAAGGUCAAUUUAUUGACUUCAAAGAUGAUCG